GACGUAGGUGGCGAACGUUAUCCGGAAUUAUUGGGCGUAAAGGGUGCGUAGGUGGCCUGACAAGUUAUCAGUGGCAAAUCGAGGCUCAACCUCGUGGAAACUGGUAAUACUGUCCGGCUUGAGUGCAGGAGAGGUUAAUGGAACUCUAUGUGGGAGCGGUAAAAUGCACAGAUAUAUAGAUGAACAUCAAUAACGGCGAAGGCAGUUAACUAUUCUGUCACUGACACUGAGGCACGAAAGCGUGGGAGCAAACGG
rnacentral:rRNA from 1 species